CGACCAACCGUCCCACUCCACCCACCACUGUUCGUCUAAAAAAAACACCCAACCCUCGAUCCAGAUCCCCUCUUCUCUUCUCCCGAUUCACCCCUCGUCUCCCUCCCAUCCCACGCCGCCGCCGCCGCCGCCCGCCACCCCGGCGACCUCCCCACCGGCGAUCCCCAGCCUCUCCCUCUCCUUCUCCCCUGCAUCCGUCGCCCGCACCUUCCCUCCCAGUCCCAGAUCAACCCGCGGGUGAGCCGGCGGCCAGGAUAUAGCAGUAGCGCAGAGAAAACAGAGUCGCCUCUUCUUCUCCUCCCAAAUCCUCCCGCUCCCCCUGCACAUUUCUUCAUGUCCCCGCUCCCUCCCUCGCUCCACCACGGCGGCCUCCCCCGCCGGCGGAUCUGGGACUGGGGGACGCGGCUGCGCUAGCGGCGGUCGGUUGGUUGGUGGCGGACCGGCAGAGCCUCAACGACCAUCGAUUGGAGGUGAGGGGAUUGGGGGCGGGGAGUCCACGGCGAAAACAGAGGGCGGAGAUCCAUCGGUGGCCAGCAGCAGCAGCUCAGUUCGUUGUCAGAAUCCAUGGCGCUGGCCGCGCCGCACCUUUUCCUGCUUCUUCUAGUCUGAGGCGAGCACCAGCGAAAUCUUGGAUUCAUAAAUGGGAGAAGCACAUAAGGGAGAAGAAGAUGAUUGCAAGGAUGGAGAGGGAGCAAAUCAUUUGAAGGGAUAGAAUGCCACUGUUUGGUGUUUUUAUGCAUUUUUGUUUGCUUUCAACUGUGUUUGCACUAGCUGGGAAUAAGUGACUAGGCAGUAAGUGUAGAUGUAUGGAUAUGCUCUAAUGCUCCUGGUUUACUAUAAAUCUUCGAUUUGGAAUGAUGUGUAAUGCUGCUGGUUUAUUACAAAUCUGGGCUUGUUUUAGUUGUUA